rnacentral:rRNA from 1 species
AACGAACGCUGGCGGCAUGCCUAACACAUGCAAGUCGAACGAGACCUUCGUGUCUGGUUGCGCACGGGUGCGUCACGCGUCGGAACCUGCCCUUAGGUUCGGAAUACCUCCCCGAAGGGGGUGCUAAUGCCGGAUAAUGUCUUCUGACAACGGAUUUGUCGCCUUUGGAUGGGCCGGCGUUGGUUUAGCUAGUUGGUAGGGUAAGAGCCUACCAAGGCGACGAUCCAUAGCUGGGAUGAGAGGAUGAUCAGCCACACUGGGACUGAGACACGGCCCAGACUCCUACGGGAGGCAGCAGUGGGGAAUAUUGGACAAUGGGCGAAAGCCUGAUCCAGCAAUGCCGCGUGAGUGAUGAAGGCCUUAGGGUUGUAAAGCUCUUUUACCCGGGAUGAUAAUGACAGUACCGGGAGAAUAAGCUCCGGCUAACUCCGUG